ACAUUCACUUACAGUUCGUAACAAACCUGAUGAACUAGCAGUGAGUGAGACACAAGCGUCGAGGGAGACAGAUGCUUCCGCCCUCCGGCCUCACAGCUCCAGUGUGAUAAUCUGCUGUUCUCAACGUUUUUCCCGCUAAGUCACACAUGAAAGAAGAUGUGCACUCUGAGGACGGGCUCCCAUGUGUGCUUCUCGGUGCAUCGGCGUCUCCAUGACCCGCUCCCUCCCCCUCCGCAAAAACUCAUCAGGAUGCAAGUGAGUGCAAGACAUGUUUUUACAGUACAGGGAGUCCCUCUGCCCAUCACGGCCACCCAGCGACCCUGCCGGCCAAGAUGCUGUCUCCAAACAGCUCACGCAGUCUCGCAGAGCUGGGGUAAUGAAGUCCCCAUCACCAAUCACAAGCUCGUUCUUCAUGUUUUUGCCGUGGAAUGACACACAUCACUUUUGUUCCCAUUUCAUGACCAAGUGACACCAUUCUCGAAGCUGGCACCUCUGCUAGAGAAGAGAGAGGGGACGCGCCACAUGGCGAGGGGAUGUGACAUAUCCGCCACGUUCUUGGAAGGAGCGGAAUGUACCACACAAGGGCCGACUCCAGAUCUGAUCUGGAAGGAAGGAGGUCAUUGACCGAAAACAAAGAUGUUGGAGAAGAUGUUGAAGGUUGAGACGAGAGGAGAAGGGAUCUUUAGCUGUGUACAUGAAAGGUGGAGAACUGGAUCUUUUGUCCUCCGGAGAAAAUUUUAAAUGCAGCAAUGUAAAUGUUUCGAGAAUGAACGACUCACUUCAAACUUUUAUGCCUGCCUGUUUGCCUUGCAUCAUCUUCCCCUACCCCAACUCCUUUCCCUCCCUCCCGCUCUCCCUUCCUUCAUCCCUCCCUUCUUUCCAAAAGCACUUGUGAGUGUCUCCUAGGUAGCUAAUACAGUUGGCCCUUGAACUCACAGUGUGAGUCCACUUAACACGCGGGUGUUUUUCAAUAAAUAUAUUGGGAAAUUUG